UACGUAGGGUGCGAGCGUUAAUCGGAAUUACUGGGCGUAAAGCGUGCGCAGGCGGUUUUGUAAGCCAGAUGUGAAAGCCCCGGGCUUAACCUGGGAAUGGCAUUUGGGACUGCAAGGCUUGAGUGCGGCAGAGGAGACUGGAAUUCCUGGUGUAGCAGUGAAAUGCGUAGAUAUCAGGAGGAAUACCGAUGGCGAAGGCAGGUCUCUGGGCAGUAACUGACGCUGAGGAGCGAAAGCGUGGGGAGCGAACAGG
rnacentral:rRNA from 1 species